AUCUGCUUAAACCCAAUAUUUUCGUCUAAUUUCUGAUUCAAUUUCUCCCUUCCUGAACCCUAAAAUCAGUUCCCUCAUCAGUUCCCCUUUCAUUCCAUCCGCUUUCUCCCUCGCAGAUUCGCAGUCGGUGGACGAAGCUGCAACGGGGGUUUUGCGGACCGGCAGACAACGGAGCUCAUAACGUCACGAAGUCUCAAUUGGUGCAGCGUUUUCAUCAACGAGUAUGAAAUUGCUUCUCAGGUCUUUGUAGAUAGCUUUGGCUCUGUCCUGAUAUGGUCCAUUCUCUAAAAAAUUCAUAAAAAGUUUUGAAAUGUGGCUAAAAAGUGGUAGUGCGAGUGAAUGAACGAACCAAUGAAUGAAUAUACAAGGAAGCCAUCAUCGUCACUGUGAGGAACCAAAAGCAACGCAUUAUUCAUAGUUUUCUUUAUGUAUGUAUGUACCUUUUUAUAUCCUCCAUAUAUGUCAAUCUUAUUAGACUUGCAGACUAUAUAUAUAUAUAUAUAUAUAUAUAUAUAUAUAUAUAUAUAUACAUCUCAGUUCUCACCUUUUGGGUUUUCUUCUUAAGUUCCUACUUUCAAUGGUUCAAUUAUAUGUACUCGCUGGCCGCUCUAGAAAUUCAAUGCCCCGAGUUGUUAAUUGUUUGAAGCCAUAGAAUAGGUAGUGAGUCAAUUCUGUACAUCUUCUAUGACACCUUCCACAUUAUUAUGGUCUUCUACAUGUGUCUCUCAUAUUCAUGCUCAUUAAUGAUUUCGUAGACACAUUUUCAUUUAACAUUUUUUCUUUCAACUUGACACUUUUUACUGCUUUACUGUCUACUUGUAUAUCUGCUCUGGAUGCAGAAGAAUCAUAUGGCCCUUCAUGCUUCAUCUAUCAUCUGUGCGCUUCAGAUCACUGACAAGUUUUUUUAGGAUUUUUCCCUUUAAGACUGUAGCCAACUGCUGAUAUUUUGUUUGAUUGAUGAUAUGGACCCAAUGUCACUCAUUUGUCAUUAAGGGCAAAAUUGUCUUUGCAGUGUGUGAAAACUGAUUGAAAAUUGAGUUCCUUUUUCGUUCCGUUGUUCAUUCCUUUGAUUUGCAUGGUCGAGAGGGAGAGAGCGAGCGAUAAAGAAUAAAGAAAAAGAGAACUCCAUGGUUGGCACAGGGACUUAAUCGUUAUCAGCGAAGUGAGAAGCAUCAGAGAUCAGUAUUUCAUGUCUGGGAUACUUCAUUAGAGACCAUAGAAAUACCUAUGAGAUAUUGCAAUCUAGGAUAAAGCUGAAAGUUGUGUUAAAGAAGCUUUAGAUGAUUUUGCCAAGCCUUGGCAGGUAAUUAUGUCCUUUUCUAUAUAUCUUAUAGAAUAUUUCAUGCCAGUGAUAUAUUGUAAAGGAUAUUCUUUUCAUCAUACGGUUAUAAUUAUAAUUACAUUAGAAGUAGUACAGAUUGGAUAUCCAAAAGUAGAGUUAGCCCAUUUCAUCUUCAAUACUAAGAAAAUUCUUUGAUUCCUCUAAACUCACUAAAUAAUUGCCUACCCCAUGUGGUCUCCCCUCCUCCCAUCACAUUUAUCCCACCAUUCUCUCAUCAUGGAAUUUUACUCUUCCUAAUUCCAAGCAACAUGAACCGAAAAACUAUAAAAUCUUAGAAAUGAUAUAUUUAUAUUUGUGUGAAAAAUCAUGAUGUAAUACAUUUAUAACUUUUGUUAUGUCAUUAUAAUUAAAUUUAUAUUUACUGAUGAUGCAAUUAUUGUAAUAAAUGAGUUAGGUUAACUACUUCCUAAAAGUAUGAGUUAUAUAUAUA